rnacentral:rRNA from 1 species
CAGCACCGCGGUAAAACGAAGGGUGCAAGCGUUAAUCGGAAUUACUGGGCGUAAAGCGUGCGUAGGCGGUGAGUUAAGUCUGCUGUGAAAUCCCCGGGCUCAACCUGGGAAUGGCAGUGGAUACUGGCUCGCUAGAGUGUGUCAGAGGAUGGUGGAAUUCCCGGUGUAGCGGUGAAAUGCGUAGAGAUCGGGAGGAACAUCAGUGGCGAAGGCGGCCAUCUGGGACAACACUGACGCUGAGGCACGAAAGCGUGGGGAGCAAACAGGAUUAGAUACCCCCGUAGUCCCUGUCUCUUAUACA